ensembl:lncRNA
GCUGGUGAGAAGGCACAGACAGGCACUUGAGCAGCCAGCAGUGUGACUCGGCUCCCCAUGCUCAGAUCAGGGGUCAGCACCUAUAGGCUGUGGCAGACUGUAGAAGCAGAGGAUGCCACAUUUUCCAGCGCUAAGGUGGUGACAUUAAGUUCGAUUUCUUGACAAGCUGACCAAGGCCUAAAGGCUAGCUAUUUCCAGAAGUCCUCAUAUCAAACUCAGAAACUCCCCAUUCUUCUAGCCUAGCUUCCUAGAAACACUGAAUCCUGACAUCCCACAGUACAAAUUCCUCAAGUUCAAGGACCCUUGGGAAGAAGAGAUGGCUGAAGCAAUAGCCCUGGCCCCUGGAGGACAAUCAUCUUGGUGGGGAUGUCAGUGAAGAAGUGGGAGAAAAUGAGGACCACGGCGAUCGUGACACCACUGCGAGAUGUAGGAGUCACUGUAACACCUAUCUUACAGAUGAGGAGUCAGAAGAGAGAGGUCAAGUUCCGGGGGCAGGAUGACAUGGAAGAGUUGACACUAGAUCCCAGCCCAAUAUGACUCCAUAAUUUCACCCUCUUAUCCAAUGCCUACUACCUCUUCCUACAAAAAGAGAAAAAAAAGCUUUGAAAACAGGCUUUGCUGAUCACUCAAAUUUUCUGGUAAAUAAAAAUGCAAUCAGUUCCAAAUUAUACAUUUGAAAAAGUUUCUGAAACGUUUAUGGUCCCUUUCCUGCCUUAAUAAGUAUAGUACACUAAAUAUAAACCUAGUUCUGCUUUAUGAAUAAACUCUUCUGAGACUAUCUGCUAGCUACAGGCCUUAUGGACCAGUUCCAAUCAUAGAGAAUGUCAGAUGUACAUGGAUUAGAGAUGACCAUUUACUAAGCCCAGGGCAUGCUCUGAAACUGAAGUAUUAAAAGUUAUGAUCUAAGAAAAUCUGUUUUAUUAUUUGCCUUUUUCUAUAAAACUUCAGUUGAAAUGAUUUGGGUGGAUAAGCAGAAGGGCCACUGCAGGAAACGGUAGCAAUGGCUGCUCGUGACGUGUAUAGACAAAAAAGGAUUGAUGAGACACAGGAAAAGGAGCAAACAAAAAGCUGAAAACAUAGCAAAACUCAGCCUAAAAAUGAAAACAUCCAGCCCCGUAAUCCAAAGGAAGGUUAGUAUCUCACAAGGGGCAGUCGAUAUAUUUUUAUCUUGUGGCUUCAUGUUUUUGCAGACGCAUUAAAUCAUAAAAAUCCAAGAAACUUUCUCACCCCUAAACCACACAGUGUAUUUUAAGGAAUGUGUCUCUUUUCUAAGAAACUGCUUGAUUUUCAGGAAGUGGCAAAGUGGCAGGUGUGUUCCCAUGAUCAGCCAAAGAAACCAAAUAAACGUUCCCCUGGCCAAACCUGUUUCUCACAGAUAAACAGCUGCUUGCUGCCUGGAGGAGGGACAAGGAACCAGAAGACUCCCUGUGUUGCCUGGCACUUCUAUUUUUUCUGUUUAAGUUGAAAAAGGAAGGAAGAUGGAAGCCUAUAAGCAUGCAGACCUACUCUAGUCAGGUCAAUCUUGAGCCCUGCAUAGGAUAGGUUUGCAAAAUCCCAGUUCUAGGCAGACACCCCAGGUCUUCUUCUCUAGUUAGGCAUGGAAACACAUGACUGAACUAGGAGCUGUAGGAAAUAGAUUUGACCUGAAAAAGCCAUCACUGCACAAUUACAAGCUAGGCCAAAG